rnacentral:lncRNA from 1 species
UUCCUUUGAUUUUCAUUACUUCAUAUUAAUUUUAAUAUUGAUCCAAAAAAUAUGAGAGUUUCACCAUUUUUUAAAAAUAAAGUCCUCUUUCAUAUUUUGAAUUAAAAUUAUUUUUUGGAUCAUUAUUAAUAUUUUUCAUGAUUUAAUUGAUUUUGUGAUUAUUUUUAAUUGUUUAAAAAUACUUUUUAAUUGUCUCUAAAAAUUCUGAAAUUUUUUCUCCAAGGUCCUUUGAC